AACGAACGCUGGCGGCAUGCCUAACACAUGCAAGUCGAACGAGACCUUCGGGUCUAGUGGCGCACGGGGGCGUAACGCGGGGGAACCUGCCCUUAGGGUCGGAAUAACUCCCCGAAAGGGGUGCUAAUACCGGAUAAUGUCGUCGGACCAAAGAUUUAUCGCCUUUGGAUGGGCCCGCGUUGGAUUAGCUAGUUGGUAGGGUAAAAGCCUACCAAGGCGACGAGCCAUAGCUGGUCUGAGAGGAUGAUCAGCCACACUGGGACUGAGACACGGCCCAGACUCCUACGGGAGGCAGCAGUGGGGAAUAUUGGACAAUGGGCGAAAGCCUGAUCCAGCAAUGCCGCGUGAGUGAUGAAGGCCUUAGGGUUGUAAAGCUCUUUUACCCGGGAUGAUAAUGACAGUACCGGGAGAAUAAGCUCCGGCUAACUCCGUG
rnacentral:rRNA from 1 species